GUUAUUUUUAGAAUAUAGAUAUCUAGUAUAUAGCAUAAAUAGAGAUAGAUAACUGUUGAAAAGGUGGUUCAACAAGUAAAAUAGAUGAAUAGUCAAGAAAAGUAGUUAUCAUCCAUAGUAUAAGAGUUGGUAUCUCGGGGUAGUAUAAGGAAGAUGGGAAAGAAGAAGAAAAUGCCAAACUAUGAUAGUCAUGAGCCGAGUUAAGUUUGGUGCUUCCUCUUUGUUUUUUUUUUAUCUUUAUUGUUGAAGAAUAAUGGAUAGUUUUUGAAUACUGAGAAGUGAGUCUGCAGAAUAAAUCAGAGAUUGAUUUAUGAGUUAUUGAUUAUGUAAUUGGAAUAUUGAGUGAUUGAAUUAUAUGAGAAGUUAUUGGAAGAUUGAUUAUGGAUGGAAGAUUAUGAUUGUUGUUUAUUGAGAGUUGUGUGUGUGUGUUUCGAUAGAGGAAGUCUAUGAUUUUAGGAAUUCUGUGAAUUCAGAUUGAUUGGAGUGAAGUUUGUUAUUCUUGGUAUUGAAUGGAAUUUAUUGAGUUUUGAGCAGUCUUUUGAGAGUGUAGGGUUGCACAUUGUGAUUAUUAAUUGAUGAAGGAGUAUUGUUACUGGAAAGAAGCAUUGUAGUAUUUCUUAGUCUUUUAGUGGUUUGAAAUACAGUUAAUUGUGUGACCCUAAUAAGUGAAACUCAUGUGCUUAGUCUU
rnacentral:lncRNA from 1 species